GUUUCCAUAGUGUAGUGGUUAUCACGUUCGCCUCACACUCGAAAGGUCCUCGCUUCGAAACCGGGUGGAAACA